GUCUCUUUACUUGAGCUUCCCAAGAAGUUUUAAAUAGAACUGUUCUUCAAACCCUUGGAAUGGAGGAAGAGGUCUCAAGGUUCCCAAGAAGUUUAAGAUAGAACUGUUUGUCAAACCCUUGGAAUGGAGGAAGAGGUCUCGUGCUUCCCAAGAAGUUUUCAAUAGGACUGUUCAAACUGUCGGAAUGGAGAAAGAGGUCUUGAGCUUCCCAAUAAGCUUUACAUAGAACUGUCCAUCAAACCCUUGGAAUGGAGGAAGAGGUCUCUUAACUUGAGUUUCCCAAGAAGUUUUUAAUAGAACUGUUCAUCAAACCACUGGAAUGGAGGAAGAGGUCUCUUUACUUAAGGUUCCCAAGAAGUCUUAAAUUGAACUGUUCAGCAAACCCUCGUAAUGGAGGAAGGAGGUAAAUUAUUUUAUUUACCACCUAUUUUAGGUUAAAACCUUUUGUGUUUUUUUUUUUUUUUAUAAAAGCAUUUAGGUGAGUUGUCUAAACCUCUACAGUACCCAAAUGGAAGCCAAGCAGAGUGGCAGCCCCCCUCAUCC